rnacentral:rRNA from 1 species
GUGGGGAAUAUUGUACAAUGGGCGAAAGCCUGAUGCAGCAACGCCGCGUGAGGGACGACGGCCUUCGGGUUGUAAACCUCUUUUAGUAGGGAAGAAGCGAAAGUGACGGUACCUGCAGAAAAAGCACCGGCUAACUACGUGCCAGCAGCCGCGGUAAUACGUAGGGUGCAAGCGUUAUCCGGAAUUAUUGGGCGUAAAGAGCUCGUAGGCGGUCUGUCGCGUCUGCUGUGAAAACUGGAGGCUCAACCUCCAGCCUGCAGUGGGUACGGGCAGACUAGAGUGCGGUAGGGGAGAUUGGAAUUCCUGGUGUAGCGGUGGAAUGCGCAGAUAUCAGGAGGAACACCGAUGGCGAAGGCAGAUCUCUGGGCCGUAACUGACGCUGAGGAGCGAAAGCGUGGGGAGCGAACAGGAUUAGAAACCCCAGUAGUCC